rnacentral:ncRNA from 1 species
CGAUAAAAGAGUUGCAGGGUGGUGUCUCCUGCGCCCGCACCGCGGGUUCUUCCCAGCCACGG